ACCUUAUUACAUAUGAUCACCGAAGUUAAGCAAUAUUGAGCUUGCUUAGUACCUAGAUGAGUGGCUGCCUGGGAAUACCUGGGGUUGUAU